rnacentral:rRNA from 1 species
AUUGAACGCUGGCGGCAUGGCUAAAACAUGCAAGUCCGGGAUAGCCUUCGGGUGACACCGGCGGAAGGGCGAGUAAUGCGAUCGAACGUGCCCCGAGGUGGAGGAUAGCUGUGGGAAACUGCAGGUAAUACUCCAUGUGUUCCAAGGAAGAAAGCUUCGGCGCCUUGGGAGCGGCGAUCGUCCUAUCAGCUAGUUGGCGGGGUAACGGCCCACCAAGGCAAUGACGGGUAGCCGGACUGAGAGGUUGGACGGCCACAUCGGGACUGAGACACUGCCCGGACACCUACGGGUGGCUGCAGUAAGGAAUAUUGGUCAAUGGGCGGAAGCCUGAACCAGCCAUGCCGCGUGCAGGAAGACGGCCCUACGGGUUGUAAACUGCUUUUAUUCGGGAAUAAAUCUUUCUACGUGUAGGGAGUUGAAUGUACUGAAAGAAUAAGGAUCGGCUAACUCCGUG